UACGGGGGGGGCAAGCGUUGUUCGGAAUUACUGGGCGUAAAGGGCUCGUAGGUGGCCAACUAAGUCAGACGUGAAAUCCCUCGGCUUAACCGGGGAACUGCGUCUGAUACUGGAUGGCUUGAGAUUGGGAGAGGGAUGCGGAAUUCCAGGUGUAGCGGUGAAAUGCGUAGAUAUCUGGAGGAACACCGGUGGCGAAGGCGGCAUCAUGGACCAACACUGACGCUGAGGAGCGAAAGCCAGGGGAGCAAACGGG
rnacentral:rRNA from 1 species